rnacentral:tRNA from 1 species
GGGAAUGUAGUUUAGUGGUAGAGUGCUUGCCUAACAUACAAGAAGCCCUGGGUUCAAUUCCUCAGUACCA